UGAUGUUGUUUUCUCUUGUUUUCAGUGACAGUUGCUAUCUUCAUUGUUCCUUUGGUGUAUCGGAAACACAAGGUUCACAUCAACCAGUACCUGGGGCUGGUGACAGGACAGAUCAAGGAAUUCACAGCAAAAAUCCAGGCUAAGCUCCCAGGAUCCAAACCCAAAGCCGAAUGAGUGGACCCAAAGGUGAACCUGCAGCCACUGAGCAAACUCCCGGACCCAACAAUGCAAUUAAUCUUUACAAUCGAGAGUCUUAACCGCCCACAAAUCAGAGCACAGGGAUCGAACAUUUUUUUUUAAAAGGCUGCAUUUGCCCCUUGGCCCAAGGUUCAAGGGACUCCCCUUCUGAUUAAUUUAUCUUUUAAUGCAGGGCAUGCUCCCAGCCCAGCCUGCUGGCCUGUUCACAACAGCGAUACCUCAUGGGAACCUGGAUGAAGGUGGGAACACAGUUUUAUGGGUGAAUAAGAUCAGAAUUUAGACUGAGGGACCUUUGGGUCUGGAAGAGGGUGAAGGAUGGGUAUUGUAAGGAGGCCAGGGCUUGUGAGUGAAGGGGCCUAAGAGUUCAGAGGGGGAAUUAUACGGUGGAGGGAUUAGAUGAGGGCAGAGACAGGAGUUGUAGACAAAACAAAAGAACUAGGGCCUCUGCCAUUCGAUAUAACUGUAGCUUAUUUUCUACCUCAGCUCCACCUUCUCACCUGUCUCCCACCUCCCUCAUUCUAAAAGAUGCCUUAUUUAUAUCAGAUAUUGCAGCAUCCUUAACCCACUGCAGUAGAGUGUUAGGUGACAUCUUUAGAUAGAGAGUGGUUAUAGAAUGAGGGGCUCAUACAGAAAGGGUUGAGGGUGUAGAGGUGAAAAUCCUUCCUCACAAUCACUGAGUCACCAAACCUGAAAAUAUCAUUUACAACCAGCGGUUUGAAAGAUUCAAGAUUUACACAGAACCCUUCGCUCUGAAAAUUUCUGAUCCCUUUUAUUUCUUUGAUGGAAGUUGAGAGUCAGUGGCAAGAUCAGCGUCAGUGGCUCAUCCCAACUAUGACGGUGACAACUGCUGUGGGGUCUGGAGUCACAUGUAGGCCACACCAGGUAAGGAUGGGCAGAUUUCCUUCGCUAAAGGGACAUGAGUGAACUGGAUGGAUUUUCACAACCAUCAAUAAUUGCUCACUUAGGAUAAGCUUUCAAUUGGGCUUCAACCCUCACCCCCAGACACUCAUUGUGUGCCUCUGGAUCGCUAGUCCAGGGACGGUACCACUAUGCUGGUCUCUCCCCUCCCCCCCUCCCCCUCCCCGCCAAGAGAUUCAUGAUUCUGUAUGGAAAACAUUUGAGAGUGGGUUUAGCUGUGAAAUCCUUCAUGUCUGAUGUCUUGUUGACUUGAUCAAACUUAAAAAACAGCCAUGUGGAUGAGUCUACACAGACGCUGAUCUUGCCACUGCAACUUCCAUCAAAAAAAUA